AUAAUUAUAAAUAGUAUUUUAUUGGCACAAAUUAUCCCUCACUAUUAUAACUUGUUUCAUUACAGUAUUAACAAACAUUUCAUGAGCAUUGUGGGUCACCCGCAGGCCCCCUUACAGAGAAAGCAUGUGGAUAUAUAUAUUUAUAUAUGAUUUCAUUUUCAUACCAUUCAUUUAAUUGUAAUGCCCCGGUUAAUGGUAUUUAUUUCUUAUAUGACCCAUUGAUCAAGAGAGACAUUACUACAUUACUACCUAUUCUAUGGAAGUAAUUGGAAAGCUUCCACAUCUUGUCCAUAAAUGUGCCAAUUACAUGUUAAUUGCCAUAAUCCUGAUGAUUAUUAUAUACUGAGCCGCUUUUAUUUUCCUUUGUAUUCCUUACAGACUCAACUAAGGUGACAGACACAGAGACAGCAAAAGAUAUCCAUUAUAAACCAUUUAUCCGAUUAGCUGGUGGAUGCGUCAGUUUGCUAAUAAUUGGAGUUCUGGCAUUUUGCAUUCGAUUCUGCAACAAGCAUGUAAAAGUGUUAAGAGAGCGUAAGAAAGAGGUCCGGAGCUUACAAGUGUUUGAAAAAGGAGUAAAAAUACAGAUAACAGAAAACUCUAAGGAAAAUGAAGAGACUCCUAUAAAAGAAAAUGAAAAUAAAGAGCAAGAAGUACCAAAAUCUGCUACAAAAAUAGAUCCCCCUCGAGCUGAAACAGAUGAAACGAUUAAUGAAAGUGAGGUUGAUCUGGAGAAAGGAGCUAGUGAGGACACACAAAAACAAGGGAAGAAGAAAAAAAGAAAAAUAUGGAAAAUAUGGAAAUGGAAAAUAUGGAGAAGGAAACAGAAAAACGCAGAAAUGACACUUGUCCAAGAAUAAAAGCCAAAGUCAAAGGAGCAGCCAUUCAAAAUAAAGAAUGGAAUAACAGCAGACCUAGAAUCACUAUGGCCGUUAGGGUUGCCACCUUUAUGUCUGGCUGAGACCGGGCGGGGGGCGUGUCUGUGAUGCCAGGGGGCGUGUCUGUGACAUCAGUGGACAUGUCCGUGACAUCAGUGGGCGUGUCUGUGACAUCAGUGGACGGACCCGUGACGUC